CCCUUAGAUGUUCUGGGCCGCACGCGCGCUACACUGAUGCAUUCAACGAGUGUACCUUGGCCGAGAGGCCUGGGCAAUCUUUUGAACGUGCAUCGUGAUAGGGAUAGAUUAUUGCAAUUAUUAAUCUUGAACGAGGAAUUCCUAGUAAACGCAGAUCAUCAAUCUGCAUUGAUUACGUCCCUGCCCUUUGUACACACCGCCCGUCGCACCUACCGAUUGAAUGGUCCGGUGAAAUCUCGGGACGGCGGCUUGGUCGCUUGCGUCCGACUGCUGAAACUUGAUUAAACCAUAUCAUUUAGAGGAAGGUGAAGUCGUAACA
rnacentral:rRNA from 1 species